rnacentral:tRNA from 1 species
CCUUCGAUAGCUCAGUUGGUAGAGCGGUGGACUGUAGAAAUCCAUAGGUCGCUGGUUCAAAUCCGGCUCGAAGGA